GCAAGUAAUUACUGAGGUCACUCCCAUUGAAGGUUGUAGUAGUACUGGUAGACCAAGAAGAACAUUCUUUUCUUUUGGUCAUAGCAGAGGAUCAUCAAGAAGUGCAGUCUUACCAGUUUAUUUGGAGCCAUAAAGCCAAAAAGGUUUAGAUUGAUUUCUUUUCUUUCUCUCUGUCUUUAAAGAUAUAGUGAUUUUAGAUGUGUUCAUUAAAAGCAUAGGAUUUGUUGACAUAAAAAUAUUCAAUUGAAGUCUCAAAUUCUAAUUUUAUUUUGAUUCUUGGGUUGUGCCUAAGAGGUUGG
rnacentral:misc_RNA from 1 species